ACAAUAUGACUGCAGGCUGGGGCCUCAAACGUAUUGCUUUGCCGCUUGCCUCCGCCUCACAGCGUUGAAGCGAGUUGGGUCGGCGUGCGUUUGCCCAGUCUGUCUGAAUAUUCACCCAUGUCUUUUGCGUACUUCUUGUUUCCUUGGUGGCUCGCCACACAAGGACCCCAUAAACCUUUUGUAAUUGCAGUCGGCGUCAGUAACAUAAUAAUUAUA
rnacentral:misc_RNA from 1 species